ACUGGGAUAACUCCGGGAAACCGGGGCUAAUACCGGAUAACAUUUUGAACUGCAUGGUUCGAAAUUGAAAGGCGGCUUCGGCUGUCACUUAUGGAUGGACCCGCGUCGCAUUAGCUAGUUGGUGAGGUAACGGCUCACCAAGGCAACGAUGCGUAGCCGACCUGAGAGGGUGAUCGGCCACACUGGGACUGAGACACGGCCCAGACUCCUACGGGAGGCAGCAGUAGGGAAUCUUCCGCAAUGGACGAAAGUCUGACGGAGCAACGCCGCGUGAGUGAUGAAGGCUUUCGGGUCGUAAAACUCUGUUGUUAGGGAAGAACAAGUGCUAGUUGAAUAAGCUGGCACCUUGACGGUACCUAACCAGAAAGCCACGGCUAACUACGUGCCAGCAGCCGCGGUAAUACGUAGGUGGCAAGCGUUAUCCGGAAUUAUUGGGCGUAAAGCGCG
rnacentral:rRNA from 2 species